AGUUAUAUUGUCACAGGUUUUCAAAGUGACUGCAUUGUGUAUUGUUUAGAUACUGAACCUUAUAGAAAUUACGCAAUUAAUUUUCUUAAAAAAUGGGAAAUGUAAGUGAAAAGGUAGAGGCAGCUUCCAACGUCUCACAGCAGACCGAAGCACCUAAAAAACUCAAACCGUGCUGUGCUUGUCCCGAGACAAAGAAAGUCAGAGAUGAAUGUAUAAUACUAAAUGGUGAAGAAAACUGUAAACAUCUGAUUGAAGCCCACAAAGAAUGUAUGAGGAAGGCAGGAUUCAAUAUCUAGUAUCUUAUUCAUAUUAAUCGUUUGUAAAUAUAACCCAAAGAAAUAUAUAGUUUAGACUGAAACAGUAACACAUUUAUUAUUUGUUAUCUUGUUUUGUUAGAAAAAUAAGUUUGGGAGUGAAUAAAGUAUUACAUGUGU